CCUGAGCACGACUCCUCCAGGACUCCUGUAAGGGGUUGCCAUGAUCCCAGCUGCCUCUCUGGCUCCCUAAGAUGCCUCAAAUGACUGCCUACUUCACCUCCAAAGAAUGUGGUAUAAAGCGUAUCAGAUGAAGUCUACCAUCCCCGAGUCUCUUAAGAAGAAGCCAUCAGAGAUUCUAGGAACGAUAUCUUCAAACAGGCUACCCUCAGGCUUGAUUUCUAAGCUGAGGGCAGAUAUACAACUUUAGACUUUGAAACUGUGUCUAGAAUAGAAUGUUAAGGAUAGGAGGGGCAAUGUGCGAGGGUGUACGUACGGCAUGGAAUGGGAAUAGGGCAAGAAGUCAAAGGCCUUCCUGAAUUUUUCAUGGAGACAUGGGCCUAUCCACAUCCAAGAGGUCAAUCCACUGACAAACACAAGACUUGCCCACCCUCACCCUCUGCCCAUGCUCUUUUAACCUUUGUCCCCUCCCGCUUCGUGAAAAAUAACACAGAAUAAACUAAAGUAGAGCUGAA